rnacentral:sRNA from 1 species
GUUGAGCGUCUAGCCCAGCUCAGCGUGACUUCCGCCAGCGUUUAGAACGUUUUCGGGGUCCGAGUUGAAGAGCAAAACCAAGUGAAGGAAACUUCACUAAGUUCAGGGUGACAAGGGAGGAAGUACAGAGAAACAGAGCGCUUAAAAAGCACUGUCUGGAUAUCUUCAGAGGGAAAAAGGAGAAAGUUAACUGAAUUGGUGACACUUCGGGUCUCUCACAGAGGAAGGGAAAUGGUUAUUCUUGAUAUUUUGAGCAAACUCUUCUUCUCUGUUUGAUCAGUGCCCAGAACAAGGAAACAGGGCCAAGGAGAUUAAGAUCAAGUUGGGAAUUCUCCUCCAGAAGCCAGACUCAGUUGGUGACCUUGUCAUUCCGUACAAUGAGAAGCCAGAGAAACCAGCCAAGACCCAGAAACCCUCGCUGGACGAGUCCCUGCAGUGGCGUGAUUCCCUGGACAAACUCCUGCAGAACAACUAUGGACUUGCCAGUUUCAAAAGUUUCCUGAAGUCUGAAUUCAGUGAGGAAAACCUUGAGUUCUGGAUUGCCUGUGAGGAUUACAAGAAGAUCAAGUCCCCUGCCAAG